GGCCGGUUUGCUCAGUUGGUCGGAGCGUGGUGCUAAUAACGCCAAGGUCACGGGUUCGACCCCCGUACGGGCCA